UACAGAGGGUGCAAGCGUUGUUCGGAAUUACUGGGCGUAAAGCGCGUGUAGGCGGCUUGGCAAGUCGGGUGUGAAAUCCCUCAGCUCAACUGAGGAAGUGCGCCCGAAACUGCUUUGCUUGGGUGCCGGAGAGGAUGGCGGAAUUCCCCAAGUAGAGGUGAAAUUCGUAGAUAUGGGGAGGAACACCGGUGGCGAAGGCGGCCAUCUGGACGGUUACUGACGCUGAGACGCGAAAGCGUGGGGAGCAAACGGG
rnacentral:rRNA from 1 species